UUUUUUUUUUUUUUUUUUUUUUUUUUUUUUUNUUUUUUUCUUUUUAGGGCCGAACACACAGCACAUGGAGGUUCCCAGGCCAGGGGUCUAAUCAGAGCUGUACCUGCCAGCCUACACCAGAGCCACAGCAAAAUGGGAUCCGAGCUACAUCUGCAACCUACACCACAGCUCACUUCAAUGCGGGAUCCUUAACCCACUGAGCAAGGCCAGGGAUCGAACCCGCAACCUCAUGGUUCCUAGUCGGAUUCGCUAACCACUGAGCCGAGAUGGGAACUCCCCAUCCAGGACUCUUUAAUUUCCAGGUGCAAACAAAGGCUUAAACCAAAAGGCAGAACUAUGAGAGAUUUAAAGGUUUGUGGACACAUGGGCAAAGGUUUUUGGAUGCAGUUCUAUGAAGGCUCUGAAGUCAUGCCACGUAGGACAAUGUAUUUUCCUCUAAUGUUGGUCCUGGGUGACAAUGACAAUCCUGUCGCUAAGGUCCCUACAUAAGCUUCCACUGAAGCGCAAGUAAGAGGGGUGUCUCUGUGUCAUUCCUCUGUCCCCGUUUCUCGCUCUCCUGAGAGCCUAUAGCCUUCUAGGCAUGAUCCAGAUUUAUUCCCACGGAAGAAACCAAGCUGUCCACUGUUCAUCUUUUCACACUCAGUCCAAAUGCCAUUUCCUCUCAAUACCUUCUCUCUCCCAUCCCACAAUUCUGCAGAAGAACUGUAAGCAGCUCUUUUGUCCCUUUCCUGUUGGCCCAUUUCUGUUCCCCUCAAGCUUUAAAAUCUCAAUUACAGAUGCGAGAUAACCAGGCAAUGUUUAAUCUAAUCCCCAUAACACACGGCCCAAGCUUCAUUUACUGGAUAUCCUUCACAAGUUGCUGAUCUCACAAUGCCUUGUCUAGCCUGUUGAUUCUUUUCUUAAAGAAGUAGGGCUGGGAGUUCCCACUGUGGCACAAUGGGUUAUGAACCUGACUGCAGGGGCUCCGGUCACUGUGGAGGCACAGCUUUGAUCCCUGGCCAGGCGCAGGGGGUUAAAGGAUCUGGCAUUGCCACAGCUGCAGCUCGGAUUCAAUCACUGGCCUGGGAACUUCCACAUGCUGUGGGUGUGGCCAUAAAAAAAAAUAAGUAGGAAUGAAGAAUAAGUAAUUGACAGAUGAAUAGAUCUUUUCCCCAGGUCCCCCUGUAGUAAUCCCCUAAGCAAACCGAGUGAACAGGAGAGCAUCUAAAGAAAGACCACAAGGAGUCAGUAAGUUUGCACACAAUGGAAAAUGAGAAAGAAUCUGACCCCCUACUCAAUGAGUGUCUGCAAACAUCAUGUGUGGGACUUUAUCUUGGUUCUCUCGGAUGUCAAAUGUCUUCUUGCUCUAUCUCAGGGACAGGUGCCUUUUCAGACAGGUCUUUCAAACCCUGUGCCCAUAAAACUCUAUGGAGUAGACACCUGAUAAAAGUGGCAGAGAAGGGAAGGGAGGACCAGAGAACCAAAAGCCACUGUCGGGGAAGGAACCCAGUGGUGUCAGUAAAAGGGCCCAGAAUCCAGGCUUCAAUAGAGUCUCCUUAACAGCAGGACUCAUUGUAUAGAAGAGGAAAGCAAGGCCCUGAUUUGAAGGUCCUAUGAGCUCCCUUCAAAUCCUGAAGUUUGGGUCUGCCAAGGAUCAGACAGGAACAGAACAGCCCUUGUGCUUUACAGACCUGAUAAUCAAUGAGACUUCUGGGGCGCGGCUGAUCAAUGCACUUGACAACCUCCCAUUGAACACGUCUCUUGAAAAUGCCCAUGACAAUCUAUUCCACAACCUAAUUGAGAAAAUGGAUUAAAUGUUUCCUUAUCUCUUUACCUAAAAACUGCACGCAGAGAAUGGAAACUCCAUACAAGGAAUGCAAUUGCAGUCUCCCAAUUCUGUUCGUUCAGGGGAAUUCUGUUGACUGUGUGAAAAUGAUUUCCCGCUGUCAUUUACUUUAACUGACUAUGUGCAUCGUCACCUGGAAUUAAGUACAAAUCCCUGCAAGAGCAGUGUUGAGGACGUCUGUCCUGGGCUUUGCAUUCAGACAAACUUGGGUUUUCAGCCCAGCUAAGCCACUUGCUAGCUAUGGAGUGUAAUUCCAGCCACAUCCAAUGUGAGAGUCAUAACUGCCUUAUUAAUCGAGUUGUAAAAAGUGAAAGUUACAUUCCUAAUCAAGUGUUUAACAGGCUGAUUAGCUCUCAAGUACCUGAGGAAUUGCAGGGGUAAAGGCUCAAACAUUUACGGAACAUCGGAUAAUAGCAGCUAUCAAUUACCAAGUGCCUGCCGUGUCCCAGGUACUUAAUGUAUAUUAUCAGUAAUCCUCAUAACUUUUUAACAAUGAAGGAACCAUGACACACCAUUGAUGGGUUAAAAAAUCAGGCUCAGCCACGUGGCCUUGGCCAAAGCUGCAGAGUUGGUAAGUUGCAAAAAGGGCUGGAAUGCACCAUGGUCUGUCCUGUGUCACCCCGAUACUUACCCUGUAUCACAAGGCCCCACACUGAGGUGGGGCAGCACCUACUGUGCCAUAUUCCCGGGAUACCAGCCACUACUCUGGAGGACAUUACGUUUGAUGGAGGAGAUGGAAGGAAAAAGGCACAGGCAAGAGAUGGUAUAAUGAAAAAGUAUGAUGCACAAUGAGUGCCAUGGUGGGGGUGAGUCCAAGGCUGACGUAGCACCCAAUUCAGUCUCUGGAGAGGUUUUGGGGGGGGUUGCGGGAGAGCAGCCAAGCUGAUUCUUAGAAGACCACAGGGGUUUUCUGGGAAAGAAUGCAAGGAUAAGCAUUCUGGAAAGAGAGAAGACCUCAAUCCCAGGUACAGCGGUAUAGGAUAGCUUAAUAUAGUCAGAAUCUAAAACUGUGCUGUCUAUUCCUGUAUAAUGGAGAAGAACAUAUAGCUAAUCAGACUUAAAUUAAUUAAAAUUAACAAAAUAACUUUUUUUUUUCUUUUUCCAGCCACGUCUGUGGCGUAUGGACGUUCCCAGGCUAGGGGCCAAAUGAGGACUGCAGCUAAAGGAUGAGAGGAUGGAGACGAAGGUGGGCAAAAGAGAAUGCAGGGCGGUUUCAUGGGAGACGUGCAACUGGCUUCAAGCUUGAAAAGACAUCAUUAGACAAGAGUGAUGGUGGGGAGGGGUUUUAUCGAAGAGUGGACCUUAGACUGACGAGGGGGCAGAAGACUGUCCCCUUCCAUUCAAGGAAGGACAAUGUGGGUGAAGCCUUUUGUGAGUCACAGGUGCUUCAGGACCAGGGCAAAUUACGAUGGUUUGAUUCAGGGAGAAGCUUGUAAUGCAUGUUGGCAUUUUGGAGAAAAAAGAUUCUUUUAAUUUGAUGAGAGAGAAAACAUAUUAGAGGGUCUACAAUCUCCAUCCUUGCCCUCUUCUGAUUCACUCUCCCCUCUGCAACUAAAACUUUGUCUUGAAAUGCCCUCCUGAUCACGCUGCUCCCACCCCAUGCGCACCCUCUGCUUUAAAUCCUUCGAUGGCUCCCCACAGGAUAGCCUCAAAUCCUCAACCUGGCAAACCUUGGAAUUACAGGUUUCCUUGUAAAAAGUACGAAGGUACCGCCAACAGUCUAGGCUGCGCUAGCUGGUUCUGCAUGGUGAGGGCAUUUCCAUUUCUCCUUAAUACCAUCAGAAGUGCACUCUUUUUGAAGUCUGCCUCCCCCAAGUGUGGUUUACGCUCCAGACCAGCCUUUCCAGAUCACUCCUGGAUGGUAGGUUCCACUGCGCUUAUGCUUGUGGAUGUAUGUGGCUUUUUUUUUUUUUUUUUUUUUUUCACAACCACACCUACAACACAUGGAAGUUCCCAGGCUAGGAGUUGAAUCAGAGCUGCAGCUGAGGCCUGUGGCACAACCACAGCAACACCAGAUCCGAGCAGCAUCGGUAGUCUACACCACAGCUUGAGGCAACACUGGAUCCUUAACCCACUGAGCAAGGCCAGGGAUUGAACCUGCAUCCUCACAGAGACUACACUGUGUACUUAACUGAUUGAGCUACAACAGGAACUCCGCAUGUGGCUCUGAUGUGUUGCAGUGCCUGGUCCCAACAAACACACACACUCAGACACACUCAUAACUCAUACCUGUGCUCAGUAAGAUCCCACCUACCCUUCUUUGUGGCCACUUCAAAUACCACCACUCAAGGGCAGCUUCUUCUCUACAACUCAUCUGGCUAUGCUCUCACCCACUGAGAUAUGGGUGCCUGGUCCAACGAUAUGACAGUGCAAUUCUCUCCCCAGCUCCCCUGCCCCCGCCCCGUGCCAAGCUAGCUCCAAAUAAACCUUCAGAACACAGCUGAGAUGGCAUUUCUUCCUGGACGUCUUGAGAUUGAACGGCUCCCCAACUUUCACUGAGUUAGGACCUUCCUUUGUGAACCCAGAGCAUCCUGGGCAUUUCCUCUCCUGGCACUCAUCCUGCUCCUCUGAA
rnacentral:lncRNA from 1 species